UGGGGAAUAUUGCACAAUGGGCGCAAGCCUGAUGCAGCGACGCCGCGUGAAGGAUGAAGGUCUUCGGAUUGUAAACUUCUGUUGAGUGGGAAAAAAGAACGGAGUCGAAUAGGCUUCGGAGAUGAUGGUACCACUAAAGAAAGCACCGGCAAACUUCGUGCCAGCAGCCGCGGUAAUACGAAGGGUGCAAGCGUUAUUCGGAGCUACUGGGCGUAAAGAGCGUGUAGGCGGUGAACUAAGUCAGUUGUUAAAGCCCCCGGCUUAACCGGGGAUGAGCGAUUGAAACUGGUUCGCUAGAAUGCAAGAGAGAGAAGUAGAAUUCUCGGAGUAGCGGUAAAAUGCGUAGAUCUCGAGAGGAAUACCGGUAGCGAAGGCGGCUUCUUGGCUUGUAAUUGACGCUAAAGCGCGAAAGCGUGGGGAGCAAACAGG
rnacentral:rRNA from 1 species